CCUUUUGGUUCGGAAUAACACGGGGAAACUUGUGCUAAUACCGAAUAAGCCCUUACGGGGAAAGUUUUAACGCCGAAAGAUGAGCCCGCACUUGAUUAGCUAGUUGGUAAGGUAAAAGCUUACCAAGGCAACGAUCAAUAGCUGUUCUUAGAGGAAGACCAGCCACAUUGGGACUGAGACACGGCCCAGACUCCUACGGGAGGCAGCAGUGGGGAAUCUUGCACAAUGGGGGAAACCCUGAUGCAGCGAUGCCGCGUGAGUGAAGAAGGCCCUUGGGUUGUAAAACUCUUUCGUCGGGGAAGAAAAUGACUGUACCCGAAUAAGAAGAUCCGGCUAACUUCGUGCCAGCAGCCGCGGUAAUACGAAGGGACCUAGCGUAGUUCGGAAUUACUGGGCUUAAAGAGUUCGUAGGUGGUUAAAAAAGUUGGUUGUGAAAUCCCGAAGCUUAACUUCGGAACUGCAAUCAAAACUUUUUAGCUAGAGUAUGAUAGAGGAAAGCAGAAUUUCUAGUGUAGAGGUGAAAUUCGUAGAUAUUAGAAAGAAUACCAAUUGCGAAGGCAGCUUUCUGGAUCAUUACUGACGCUGGGGAACGAAAGCAUGGGUAGCGAAGAGGAUUAGAU
rnacentral:rRNA from 1 species